rnacentral:rRNA from 1 species
AAUCAACGCUGGCGGCGCGCUUAACACAUGCAAGUCGCACGAGAAAGUGGAGCAAUCCAUGAGUACAGUGGCGCACGGGUGAGUAACACGUGGGUAACCUGCCCUUGAAUGGGGAAUAACCCGGGGAAACCUGGGCUAAUACCGCAUACGCUCCUUUUGGCUCACGCCAGGGGGAGGAAAGGCGCAAGCCGUUCGAGGAGGGGCCCGCGGCCGAUUAGCUAGUUGGUAGGGUAAUGGCCUACCAAGGCUUUGAUCGGUAGCCGGCCUGAGAGGGCACACGGCCACACUGGCACUGAAACACGGGCCAGACUCCUACGGGAGGCAGCAGUGGGGAAUCUUACACAAUGGGGGAAACCCUGAUGCAGCGACGCCGCGUGAGCGAUGAAGCCCUUCGGGGUGUAAAGCUCUUUUGGCGGGGAAAAUUAUGAUGGUACCCGCUGAAUAAGCUGCGGCUAACUACGUGC